AUUCCGGCGUGAAAUGAACCCGGGGGUUAAUAACACGUGUACCGAGUCGAUCGUUCUCUGGGAUCUACAUGUUUUCAUGCUAAUCC